rnacentral:rRNA from 1 species
UGGGGAAUAUUGCGCAAUGGGGGGAACCCUGACGCAGCCAUGCCGCGUGAAUGAAGAAGGCCUUCGGGUUGUAAAGUUCUUUCGGUAUUGAGGAAGGUUGAUGUGUUAAUAGCACAUCAAAUUGACGUUAAAUACAGACGAAGCACCGGCUAACUCCGUGCCAGCAGCCGCGGUAAUACGGAGGGUGCGAGCGUUAAUCGGAAUAACUGGGCGUAAAGGGCACGCAGGCGGUUAUUUAAGUGAGGUGUGAAAGCCCCGGGCUUAACCUGGGAAUUGCAUUUCAGACUGGGUAACUAGAGUACUUUAGGGAGGGGUAGAAUUCCACGUGUAGCGGUGAAAUGCGUAGAGAUGUGGAGGAAUACCGAAGGCGAAGGCAGCCCCUUGGGAAUGUACUGACGCUCAUGUGCGAAAGCGUGGGGAGCAAACAGGAUUAGAUACCCUGGUAGUCCACGCUGUAAACGCUGUCGAUUUGGGGGUUGGGGUUUAACUCUGGCGCCCGUAGCUAACGUGAUAAAUCGACCGCCUGGGGAGUACGGCCGCAAGGUUA